rnacentral:rRNA from 1 species
GCGAGUCUGCCUUGAAGAUCGGAGUGCUUGCACUCUGUGAAACAAGAUACAGGCUAGCGGCGGACGGGUGAGUAACACGUGGGUAACCUGCCCAAGAGAUCGGGAUAACACCUGGAAACAGAUGCUAAUACCGGAUAACAACAGAUGAUGCCUAUCAACUGUUUAAAAGAUGGUUCUGCUAUCACUCUUGGAUGGACCUGCGGUGCAUUAGCUAGUUGGUAGGGUAACGGCCUACCAAGGCGAUGAUGCAUAGCCGAGUUGAGAGACUGAUCGGCCACAUUGGGACUGAGACACGGCCCAAACUCCUACGGGAGGCAGCAGUAGGGAAUCUUCCACAAUGGACGCAAGUCUGAUGGAGCAACGCCGCGUGAGUGAAGAAGGGUUUCGGCUCGUAAAGCUCUGUUGUUGGUGAAGAAGGACAGGGGUAGUAACUGACCUUUGUUUGACGGUAAUCAAUUAGAAAGUCACGGCUAACUACGUGCCAGCAGCCGCGGUAAUACGUAGGUGGCAAGCGUUGUCCGGAUUUAUUGGGCGUAAAGCGAGUGCAGGCGGCUCGAUAAGUCUGAUGUGAAAGCCUUCGGCUCAACCGGAGAAUUGCAUCAGAAACUGUCGAGCUUGAGUACAGAAGAGGAGAGUGGAACUCCAUGUGUAGCGGUGAAAUGCGUAGAUAUAUGGAAGAACACCGGUGGCGAAGGCGGCUCUCUGGUCUGUUACUGACGCUGAGGCCCGAAAGCAUGGGUAGCGAACAGGAUUAGAUACCCUGGUAGUCCAUGCCGUANACGAUGAGUGCUAAGUGUUGGGAGGUUUCCGCCUCUCAGUGCUGCAGCUAACGCAUUAAGCACUCCGCCUGGGGAGUACGACCGCAAG